ensembl:lncRNA
GACCUGAAGGAGGAGCCGUGCAUCUGGAGGAACACCAUGAGGCUACCUGCCAAGUAUUACUCACUUCCACGAGGAGGGGGGCUGGCGGCUGGAGGACCUCCCUACUGGUGGGGCGAGUGACACCCGGCUCUACAGGGAUGACCACGGAGGAGAGAGAGCUGAAGCUGUGCAUCCUGAAGGGGAAUCUGCUACUGAUGUGACAGUGAUCCAUGUCAUCUAUUUCUGCAAGGCGCGGUUGAAGUGCUGUGUUCAGUCUGGGAAGGACACACCUGAGCUGUUUCACCCUGAGCUGCUUCACACCUGCAUCUCUAACCAGCUGAAGCCCUUCAGUGACCAACAAAAGGUGCCUCAUCACAGCUUAUCAUCACUGGCCUGAGGAUUCAUCUGCUACACUCACACAACGUGACUUUGUCACCAUCUGCUGCACGUUGGGAUGCUAACGUGUUCCGCCAGGGGUUCCUUCCUUCCCGCAGUGGGAGUGUUCCUUGUCCUUCAAGGAGUUAGGGUUCAGUGUUAGGGACAGAGUUAGGGAGAGAUGGUUGAGUCCUGGCUGGUUCAGGAGCUUGAGGGAGUCAAAGCCAAAGUUCCUUUCCCACAAUUCCUUCAUCAAAUAAUAGUUUGAAAGUAUGCACACUACCUCUAGGCCCACAACUCACUAAAA